GACGUAGGGCGCGAGCGUUGUCCGGAUUUAUUGGGCGUAAAGAGCUCGUAGGCGGCUUGUCGCGUCGAAUGUGAAAUCUCAGGGCUCAACUCUGACAUUGCAUUCGAUACGGGCAGGCUAGAGUUCGGUAGGGGAGACUGGAAUUCCUGGUGUAGCGGUGAAAUGCGCAGAUAUCAGGAGGAACACCGAUGGCGAAGGCAGGUCUUUGGGCAUUAACUGACGCUGAGGAGCGAAAGCAUGGGGAGCGAACAGG
rnacentral:rRNA from 1 species